rnacentral:rRNA from 1 species
UUGAUCCUGGCUCAGGACGAACGCUGGCGGCGUGCCUAAUACAUGCAAGUCGAACGCGUCUCCGUUGAUGAUUUUAGGUGCUUGCACCUGAAAGAUUUAACAUUGAGACGAGUGGCGAACUGGUGAGUAACACGUGGGUAACCUGCCCUUGAAGUAGGGGAUAACACUUGGAAACAGGUGCUAAUACCGUAUAACAACCAAAACCACCUGGUUUUGGUUUAAAAGACGGCUUCGGCUGUCACUUUAGGAUGGACCCGCGGCGUAUUAGCUUGUUGGUAAGGUAACGGCCUACCAAGGCGAUGAUACGUAGCCGACCUGAGAGGGUAAUCGGCCACAUUGGGACUGAGACACGGCCCAAACUCCUACGGGAGGCAGCAGUAGGGAAUCUUCCACAAUGGACGAAAGUCUGAUGGAGCAACGCCGCGUGAGUGAUGAAGGGUUUCGGCUCGUAAAACUCUGUUGUUGGAGAAGAACAGGUGUCAGAGUAACUGUUGACAUCUUGACGGUAUCCAACCAGAAAGCCACGGCUAACUACGUGCCAGCAGCCGCGGUAAUACGUAGGCGGCAAGAGUUGUCCGGAUUUAUUGGGCGUAAAGCGAG